CUCCAGACUCCUACGGGAGGCAGCAGUGGGGAAUAUUGCACAAUGGGGGAAACCCUGAUGCAGCGACGCCGCGUGAGCGAUGAAGUAUUUCGGUAUGUAAAGCUCUAUCAGCAGGGAAGAAGAUGACGGUACCUGACUAAGAAGCCCCGGCUAACUACGUGCCAGCAGCCGCGGUAAUACGUAGGGGGCAAGCGUUAUCCGGAUUUACUGGGUGUAAAGGGAGCGUAGACGGCGAUGCAAGCCAGAUGUGAAAGCCCGGGGCUCAACCCCGGGACUGCAUUUGGAACUGUGUGGCUGGAGUGUCGGAGAGGCAGGCGGAAUUCCUAGUGUAGCGGUGAAAUGCGUAGAUAUUAGGAGGAACACCAGUGGCGAAGGCGGCCUGCUGGACGAUGACUGACGUUGAGGCUCGAAAGCGUGGGGAGCAAACAGGAUUAGAUACCCCAGUACC
rnacentral:rRNA from 1 species